GGACCCUGACUGUUUCCUGAAAAAAAAAAAAAAAAAAAAAAAAAUAUGCGGCCUGCCAAGCCCAGUACCAUCUGUCAUAGGCCUCAAGAUCAGUUCCACAGCGCUAAUGGCAUUGGCUCACGUCCUGGAGAGUGGAUGUUGCCUAAAUACCUAGGAUAUAAGGGAGGAGGGAGUGGAAGGGAGGCAGGACCGAACGGGUAGGUCAUUCAUACUGGAGGCACCAGAAGCCAUCAUACAUCAGGGAGGUGGCAUCUCGAAGGACCUCACGUCUGUUGAGGAAAGCACCAAGGUCACUCAACAGAAAAAGCGAGCAAAGAAUCGGACCAAGGUACCCAAAUCGAUACAAGUUGGCACGGACUCCCGGAGAUUGCGGCGUGAUCUUGCGAAGGCCUGGGGGGUGUUCACAGCUCCUCUUCACAGCCUGUGGCGCGUCAGCACCCGCUCCAGAGCCAGAGGCGGGGUGAGCCAUUGGUAGGCACCCGAGAAACCAGGUGGCGCCCUCCUCCACGGCCCCACCACCUCCACCCAGCUCCUCCUAACGACGUCUCACAGAAGCCACACGGAUGCUCUGUGCACAGGGGAGCCCCACUGCCACAGCAUCCUCCCUGUCGGGGGGCUGCCUCCAGGAGCUGCGCACAGAUCAGGGGCAUGAAUUCCGCAAGGGCUGGAACACUUAGCUGAGAGUUCGAUCGCCGGCCGAGGACCAGGCGGCGUUUGCCGCUGGACUUGUCGACCGGUGGGUUGAUCCGACCUGGGACCUGGGACCCGUCCUCAGUGAUGUCGGGGAGCCAAGACACCUCCAGAGGAGGACGGCCAAAGAGACAAGGAGCAUUCAAAGACCCUGAACGCCGGGAUUCUCUAGAGAGGUCAUUGUCAGACCAGCUGAGCCCGAAUCAGAGCCCCGGGAGGAUCUGUUGAACCGUGGAUUGCCAACACCGUCCUCAGAGUUUCUGACCGCUUGGUCUGCUGUUGGCCCGAGGAUCUGCAUUUCUGGAUAGAACACCCACCGUCACCUUCCCGCCCCCCAGCAUUGACUCUGCAGGAAUGCAACGGUUUGGAACAACGUGCCGAAUCGCGCCCUGUGUCCCCGGCUAAGACCCCAACGGUCGCAGUGCGCGUGAAGCGCUUAAUUCUUCGCUUUCGGCAGGUGAGCCGGCCAGGAGCGCCUUUGGGCCUUCCUUAUUGAUAGCGCCACCUAGCGACGCAGCUGGGGAACAUCCUCGGCCCGGCCCCAUCGCCCCCUGUCGCGCGAGCCCCACCAGUGGGUGGUGAGCAACUGGCGGGGGCAGUGGCCACGCUGGGGACAGCUGACUUCACACAGUGGGCUCAGUCGGCCUUCCCCGUUUCUAUUUUUGGGAGUGCGGGAG